GACUGUUGUGCAAGUCUGGGAGCACUGGCACUCUCCAUGUCACAACAGGUUUGCCUGAGCGCACUUCAGCCCUCCAGUAGGAGAUGCCACGUCACUGCACGCAUUCCAUCAAGGCCUGAUCAUUCCGAAACUAGCGAGCAAAGCAGACGUGGGUACUAACAUGCCUUACAGUGUGUGCGAAGGACAACAACCUGCUACAGCAGGACCUUGCAAUUACCUUCAAUCUUUCUGAUAUCAGAGUACGGUUCGAAAAUCUGAGGGAUCUCCGUGCAGAGAACCCUACAUUCUGUGAAGGCUACACCUCAGAGAAUGUCCAAGUAUAGUAUAGUACCAGGGAAGCAAGGGUGAUGAGGACCUUACAUCGCCGAGGAUCUACACA
rnacentral:lncRNA from 1 species